rnacentral:rRNA from 1 species
ACUUCGGUCCUAGCGGCGAACGGGUGAGGAAUGCUUGGGAAUCUGCCUAGUAGUGGGGGAUAACGUUUCGAAAGGAACGCUAUUACCGCAUACGCCCUACGGGGGAAAGGGGGGGAUCUUCGGACCUCUCGCUAUUAGACGAGCCCAAGUCGGAUUAGCUAGUUGGUGGGGUAAAGGCUCACCAAGGCGACGAUCCGUAGCUGGUCUGAGAGGAUGAUCAGCCACACUGGAACUGAGACACGGUCCAGACUCCUACGGGAGGCAGCAGUGGGGAAUAUUGGACAAUGGGCGAAAGCCUGAUCCAGCCAUGCCGCGUGUGUGAAGAAGGCCUUCGGGUUGUAAAGCACUUUAAGCGAGGAGGAAUGGCUCUGGGUUAAUACCCUUGAGCAGUGACGUUACUCGCAGAAUAAGCACCGGCUAACUCUGUGCCAGCAGCCGCGGUAAUACAGAGGGUGCAAGCGUUAAUCGGAAUUACUGGGCGUAAAGCGCGCGUAGGCGGUUGUAUAAGUUGGGUGUGAAAUCCCCGGGCUCAACCUGGGAAUUGCACUCAAAACUGUACGGCUAGAGUGUGGGAGAGGAAGGUAGAAUUCCAGGUGUAGCGGUGAAAUGCGUAGAUAUCUGGAGGAAUACCGAUGGCGAAGGCAGCCUUCUGGCCUAACACUGACGCUGAGGUGCGAAAGCAUGGGGAGCAAACAGGAUUAGAUACCCUGGUAGUCCAUGCCGUAAACGAUGUCUACUAGCCGUUGGGGGACUUGAUCCUUUAGUGGCGCAGCUAACGCAUUAAGUAGACCGCCUGGGGAGUACGGUCGCAAGACUAAAACUCAAAUGAAUUGACGGGGGCCCGCACAAGCGGUGGAGCAUGUGGUUUAAUUCGAUGCAACGCGAAGAACCUUACCUGGCCUUGACAUGUC